rnacentral:misc_RNA from 1 species
GAUGAAGAACGCAGCGAAAUGCGAUAAGAAAUGCGAAUUGCAGAAUCCGUGAGUCAUCGAAUCUUUGAACGCACAUUGCGCCCCUUGGUUAUUCCGAAGGGCAUGCCUGUUCGAGCGUCAUUAUCACCCCUCAAGCCCUGGCUUGGUGUUGGACUUUAGUUAUAGCUUUGCCUAUCAACUGGUCUCAAAGAUAGUGACGGCGCCCCAGAGGGAACCGGGUACGAGGAGCUUUUUACUAAGCAUGUAUCUGGGACGACUCUGGGCGACGGUCUUGUUAUACUUUUUACCUAAGUGUUGACCUCGGAUCAGGUAGGAAUACCCGCUGAACUUAAGCAUAUCAAUAAGCGGAGGA